rnacentral:rRNA from 1 species
CCUACGGGAGGCUGCAGUGAGGAAUAUUGGUCAAUGGACGAAAGUCUGAACCAGCCAAGUAGCGUGAAGGAUGACUGCCCUAUGGGUUGUAAACUUCUUUUAUAUGGGAAUAAAAUGUUCCACGUGUGGGAUUUUGUAUGUACCAUAUGAAUAAGGAUCGGCUAACUCCGUGCCAGCAGCCGCGGUAAUACGGAGGAUCCGAGCGUUAUCCGGAUUUAUUGGGUUUAAAGGGAGCGUAGGGGGAUUGUUAAGUCAGUUGUGAAAGUUUGCGGCUCAACCGUAAAAUUGCAGUUGAAACUGGCAGUCUUGAGUACAGUAGAGGUGGGCGGAAUGCGUGGUGUAGCGGUGAAAUGCUUAGAUAUCACGAAGAACUCCGAUUGCGAAGGCAGUUCACUGGACUGCAACUGACACUGAGGCUCGAAAGUGUGGGUAUCAAACAGGAUUAGAUACCCCUGUAGUC